CAGGCUGUUUCCUGACACAUUGCUUCAUUUUUCAGUGGGAAGAAAAGUCAGACCUCUGCAACCCACCACACGGUCGCAGGGAAACCAUCCAAAAACCCACCACAAACUUUCUAUUGUCAGAGACUCGCGUGAGCAAAUUCCCAGCGAAGGCAAUCGGACGUGUCAUUAGGAGAGCAACCCAAGCAGAAAGGCCCCAUAUGACCUCCCUGGUGCCGAGCGCCUUUAAUAAGAAGGAGUUACAAGGCUUGCAAAGAGACUUGGCGACUUGGAUCAAAGAGCAUCACUUGGAAGUGAUCGCGUCCCUGCACCCAGCGGUUUCUCUGCCCGUUCCCACAGUUUGCACAUCCCCUAUCCAGGGCAAGUGCUCCAGAAGAGAAGGUGCUUCCAGCUGUAACAAGACAAGCAUGUUGGUCAACAGAUUAGCUAAAGGCAUGGCUCAGCCUCUGAUCAAUCCAAGCAAAGAAAAGAAGAAAAAAAUCACAUAUCGGUGGGUGAGAUCCUGCCCUCUUGCCCUCAGCUCUGUGACAACGCUAUGACAGUGCGGAGGAGUUUGUUUCAAUAGCUGCUGUAGCAAACAUCUGGAGAAAGCAACAUGUCGGAAUGCCUUUCUGCAGUUGUGAGCUCGAGCUGGGCUUUCUGCAACUGGAGCUGAGCUGGGCCACUCAGAGCAUGCUUGCAGCAUGAUGGUCCCCCUGGCAAAAGCCACAGGAAAAAUACCUGGAGGAGCCAGCACAGUGAAAUUGCAACCAUGGAGCACAGAGGCUCUCAGAUUUGGUUGCUGAGGGUUUCCCCAGCUGCCUGUCAGGGUCCUACUGGCCUCAGUGUUGCCUCAGGCUCUCGGAUAACAAACAAGGCACAGAAGAGUUCUUGGGCUUCCAUGGCCUUAAUUAGCUGGUGUCGUUUUAGGGAUGUGUGUCCUGCUGGCUGCAAGGAGACAAAGACAGCUCAGGAGGCAUCUUUAAAUGCAUCCAAUUAGAGGGGGCUUUAGAGACAAGCAGUCAGCUCCCGAACGCACAGGGGCCCCUGCCAAAAAAACUCAUGUCCUAACCGGAGACUGAUGGCAAAUUGUUCUUCCCCUGGUAAACGUGAUCCUCCCUUCAGCAUGACCUGCCACUGCUGUUGCUCUGCUGGCCUUCACAGCGUUGCUCCUGAUUUUACAGCAGCACAACUGAUGGCAGAACCAAGAAACCUGCAAGUGAAUGCUAGCAUACUCAAAGCUUGGGUAGAUGUCGAUACAAAAUCAGUCUGUGUUUUCCUUGGGCUAUGCAUACCAGUCCUGGAUCUCCAAAGGAACUGGUGUAACUGCUGCCUGGUGUCUCUGGACACAGUACAACUCUCCUGUCCCUUCUUCGUUGGUAGGAUUCGCCUGUGUGAUGACAGGAUGUGCCUGAUAUGCCAAAUUCUCAGCUGGUUUCUUCAUGACCACAAUCAUCUGUUGCUGAGAUGCAGCCCAAGGAGAUACUUUCUUCCUAAGAAGCCAUCACACAUGAACAUCCUCUGCAGGCUGUCCACCACAAGCACCCCCUCACCACAGCAACAAGCCCAUUCCCAAUAGGAUCAACAACGAGAAGGCACCCUGAGGUCCCACUGAAAGUUCAUGUCUCUCUGAUUUCACACGGGCAACUCCAUUGGCAUUGAAGUGUCCUAAGUUAUGACACCAAAUGAGAUGCCAAUGGUGGAGCAAAAGAGGGAUGUAAAAAUCAUGAGUGUUACAGGAUGGACUCGGAAAUGUGGUUGUUCUUCAACAGCAGGUGUUUGCAAAGCCCUUAUGGGGAACUCUGCAUCCCAAUUGACCAUGAACUUCUCCAGCCAAACAUGAACAUGCUCGGACUGCCAGAGCCUUCCUGCUUAAAAGAUUCGAUAGCCCAACCCGUGACAGCCUGGGCGACGUGGCUGCCGCAGCCCCAGCUGUGCCAGCCGGCCCCGGCCCCCGGUGCAGCCACUUGCCCACCCGCCUUCGGAUGGAGAGGUCGGGCAGGAGGACGAGAGGAGCCGCUCUGGAUCACAGCUUUCCUUUUCAUCCUGGCAAAGUCUUCUCCAUGGCCUGCCCAUGCUCAUGGUCCAGAUGGGGCGAGUGCCUGUGUCAUCUCCUGAACUUCGUCCCUGGGGAAACCCAGCUGGGGGACAG